AUUGAACGCUGGCGGCAUGCUUUACACAUGCAAGUCGAACGGUAACAGGCCGCAAGGUGCUGACGAGUGGCGAACGGGUGAGUAAUGCAUCGGAACGUGCCCAGUCGUGGGGGAUAACUACUCGAAAGAGUAGCUAAUACCGCAUACGAUCUAUGGAUGAAAGCGGGGGACCGUAAGGCCUCGCGCGAUUGGAGCGGCCGAUGUCAGAUUAGGUAGUUGGUGGGGGAAAGGCUCACCAAGCCAACGAUCUGUAGCUGGUCUGAGAGGACGACCCGCCACACUGGGACUGAGACACGGCCCAGACUCCUACGGGAGGCAGCAGUGGGGAAUUUUGGACAAUGGGCGCAAGCCUGAUCCAGCAAUGCCGCGUGCAGGAAGAAGGCCUUCGGGUUGUAAACUGCUUUUGUACGGAACGAAACGGCUCUGGUUAAUACCCGGGGCUAAUGACGGUACCGUAAGAAUAAGCACCGGCUAACUACGUG
rnacentral:rRNA from 1 species